rnacentral:tRNA from 4 species
CGGGACGUAGCGCAGUUUGGUAGCGCGUUCGGUUCGGGUCCGAAAGGUCGUGGGUUCAAGUCCCGCCGUCCCGACCA